rnacentral:rRNA from 1 species
CAUAGGUUAAUGAGGCGAACCGGGGGAACUGAAACAUCUAAGUACCCCGAGGAAAAGAAAUCAACCGAGAUUCCCCCAGUAGCGGCGAGCGAACGGGGAGGAGCCCAGAGCCUGAAUCAGCAUGUGUGUUAGUGGAAGCGUCUGGAAAGGCGCGCGAUACAGGGUGACAGCCCCGUACACAAAAGCGCAUGUGCUGUGAGCUCGAUGAGUAGGGCGGGACACGUGGUAUCCUGUCUGAAUAUGGGGGGACCAUCCUCCAAGGCUAAAUACUCCUGACUGACCGAUAGUGAACCAGUACCGUGAGGGAAAGGCGAAAAGAACCCCGGCGAGGGGAGUGAAAAAGAACCUGAAACCGUGUACGUACAAGCAGUGGGAGCACAGGUUUACCUGUGUGACUGCGUACCUUUUGUAUAAUGGGUCAGCGACUUAUAUUCUGUAGCAAGGUUAACCGAAUAGGGGAGCCGGAGGGAAACCGAGUCUUAAUUGGGCGUUAAGUUGCAGGGUAUAGACCCGAAACCCGGUGAUCUAGCCAUGGGCAGGUUGAAGGUUGGGUAACACUAACUGGAGGACCGAACCGACUAAUGUUGAAAAAUUAGCGGAUGACCUGUGGCUGGGGGUGAAAGGCCAAUCAAACCGGGAGAUAGCUGGUUCUCCCCGAAAGCUAUUUAGGUAGCGCCUCGUGAAUUCAUCUCCGGGGGUAGAGCACUGUUUCGGCUAGGGGGCCAUCCCGGCUUACCAACCCGAUGCAAACUGCGAAUACCGGAGAAUGUUAUCACGGGAGACACACGGCGGGUGCUAACGUCCGUCGUGAAGAGGGAAACAACCCAGACCGCCAGCUAAGGUCCCAAAGUCAUGGUUAAGUGGGAAACGAUGUGGGAAGGCCCAGACAGCCAGGAUGUUGGCUUAGAAGCAGCCAUCAUUUAAAGAAAGCGUAAUAGCUCACUGGUCGAGUCGGCCUGCGCGGAAGAUGUAACGGGGCUAAACCAUGCACCGAAGCUGCGGCAGCGAACGUAUCACUUAAAGCGAUUCAGCGGGUUACGAUUGACGGAGCGAAGCGACGUCAAAGCGUAUACAAAGUCGAGUCGGUUUAAGGAUACGUUCGUUGGGUAGGGGAGCGUUCUGUAAGCCUGUGAAGGUGUGUCGUGAGGCAUGCUGGAGGUAUCAGAAGUGCGAAUGCUGACAUAAGUAACGAUAAAGCGGGUGAAAAGCCCGCUCGCCGGAAGACCAAGGGUUCCUGUCCAACGUUAAUCGGGGCAGGGUGAGUCGACCCCUAAGGCGAGGCCGAAAGGCGUAGUCGAUGGGAAACGGGUUAAUAUUCCCGUACUUGGUGUUACUGCGAAGGGGGGACGGAGAAGGCUAUGUUGGCCGGGCGACGGUUGUCCCGGUUUAAGCGUGUAGGUGUGUGUUCCAGGUAAAUCCGGUUCACUUUAACACUGAGGCGUGACGACGAGGCACUACGGUGCUGAAGCAACAAAUGCCCUGCUUCCAGGAAAAGCCUCUAAGCAUCAGGUAACAUCAAAUCGUACCCCAAACCGACACAGGUGGUCAGGUAGAGAAUACCAAGGCGCUUGAGAGAACUCGGGUGAAGGAACUAGGCAAAAUGGUGCCGUAACUUCGGGAGAAGGCACGCUGACACGUAGGUGAAGUGAUUUACUCACGGAGCUGAAGUCAGUCGAAGAUACCAGCUGGCUGCAACUGUUUAUUAAAAACACAGCACUGUGCAAACACGAAAGUGGACGUAUACGGUGUGACGCCUGCCCGGUGCCGGAAGGUUAAUUGAUGGGGUCAGCGCAAGCGAAGCUCCUGAUCGAAGCCCCGGUAAACGGCGGCCGUAACUAUAACGGUCCUAAGGUAGCGAAAUUCCUUGUCGGGUAAGUUCCGACCUGCACGAAUGGCGUAAUGAUGGCCAGGCUGUCUCCACCCGAGACUCAGUGAAAUUGAACUCGCUGUGAAGAUGCAGUGUACCCGCGGCAAGACGGAAAGACCCCGUGAACCUUUACUAUAGCUUGACACUGAACAUUGAGCCUUGAUGUGUAGGAUAGGUGGGAGGCUUUGAAGUGUGGACGCCAGUCUGCAUGGAGCCGACCUUGAAAUACCACCCUUUAAUGUUUGAUGUUCUAACGUGGACCCGUAA